GGAAAGGGAGAGCUCGGAUAGGAAGGUGAGGGGGAGCCCCAAUAGGAAGGAAAGGGAGAGCCCGGAUAGAAAGGUGAGGGGGAGCCCCAUUAGGAAGGAAAGGGGGAGCCCCAAUAGGAAGGAAAGGGAUCUUAGACGUGAUCAUGAGCUGAGUCCAAGUCCCAAUAGGAAGGAAAGGGAUCUUAGACGUGAUCAUGAGCUGAGUCCAAGUCCCAGGAAGGAUGGAGAGACUGAUCACAAUCAUAAGCACAGCUCAAGCCCUCAAAGAAAGAGGUCCAACGGUGAUAUUGGCAAUGGCCUCAAUCCAGGAAAGAGUGAAAGUCCCGAGUACGAUCGUGACCCC
rnacentral:lncRNA from 1 species